rnacentral:rRNA from 1 species
AGAGUUUGAUCCUGGCUCAGAAUCAACGCUGGCGGCGUGCCUAACACAUGCAAGUCGAACGAGAAAGUGGAGCAAUCCAUGAGUAAAGUGGCGACCGGGUGAGUAACACGUGACUAACCUACCUCCGAGUGGGGAAUAACUCCGGGAAACCGGGGCUAAUACCGCAUAACAUCGCAAGAUCAAAGCAGCAAUGCGCUUGGAGAGGGGGUCGCGGCUGAUUAGCUAGUUGGCGGGGUAACGGCCCACCAAGGCGAAGAUCGGUAUCCGGCCUGAGAGGGCGCACGGACACACUGGAACUGAAACACGGUCCAGACUCCUACGGGAGGCAGCAGUGGGGAAUUUUGCGCAAUGGGGGAAACCCUGACGCAGCAACGCCGCGUGGAGGAUGAAGUCCCUUGGGACGUAAACUCCUUUCGACCAAGACGAUAAUGACGGUACCGGAAGAAGAAGCCCCGGCUAACUUCGUGCCAGCAGCCGCGGUAAUACGAGGGGGGCAAGCGUUGUUCGGAAUUAUUGGGCGUAAAGGGCGCGUAGGCGGUUUGACAAGUCUGAUGUGAAAUCUAUGGGCUCAACCCAUAGCCUGCAUUAGAAACUGUCGGGCUUGAGUAUGGGAGAGGUGAGUGGAAUUUCCGGUGUAGCGGCGAAAUGCGUAGAUAUCGGAAGGAACACCUGUGGCGAAAGCGGCUCACUGGACCAUAACUGACGCUGAGGCGCGAAAGCUAGGGGAGCAAACAGGAUUAGAUACCCUAGUAGUCC